GUCGUGCUCCUCAGAAUCCUGGCUCCCCGCGCCUCCUCUCCUCCGCACUCUGCUCCUCCAUCUCCUUGCAUCCUGCUCCUCCGCCUGCCCGUUCCUGAGCUGCCCGCACCCAUGCCCUCCUCCUUUGACUCUCAGCGGACCCAGAUUCGGCGUAGCAGUGAAGGAUCAAGAGCAGGCGACACUUCUUCCUCUCCGGUUCGGCGCGGAUCGAGACUGCGGGCUUCUUCCCCGGCGGCUCAAGCUGUCGAGCUUGGCUUCCAGCGGCGCGAUCCAGGAGGCCUAGCUGCUCGCAAGCUCUCCAGACGGCGGCACAGACUUCUCUUCCCUGAGCAGCAAGUCGGCUCGAUGAACCUCUCCUUCCGUGUGGUGGUUUCUCCCUCCCCGGCGGCACAACCAUCUGCAGGAACAACAAGAAGUCAAUAAUUUGCUACUCGCAACCGUGUGAGGAGCUGGGGUGCCACCCCUCCCAGGCGAGUAGAUACUACAUCUUUGUUCUAAUAAUUUGCAUGCAAGAUAUUCGUUGAAACAUCUGACUGAAUCCAUCAGACAUGCAAAUCAAAAUCCAACUUCUCUUCUAUGCACUAUAGAUCUGCAAUGUGCUUGUGCAUUCGUGUAGGAGGAUCCAGCACAAAUCUAAAUCCUUGUUGCUGCUUUUGCUGCUAGUGUGAUUUAAAGGGUUAAAGAACUGGCAGUUAGAAUAGAAGAGAAGCCUCUCAGAGAAGAAAUCAUUGGUAGCCAAAUGUGCUGCCACAACACUCUCAUCAAUACUGAUAGGUGGUGAAAAGGAAUUCUUUGCAUCCUUAGUUGCUGCUGGUGGUUACCAAUGAUUUCUUCUAUAUGUUCUGGUGUAUUUUGUUGUCUUUGAUCCUGCAAUGCUAGACUGCUAGUUUUGAUACAUGGAAAAAACUGUAUGUGAUCCAUUAUUAUGGUGUCAUGAUGCUGGGAUGCUAACACUAUUGAUAUGAGGUUAUAAUUUGGGUUGUAAUUGAUUAUUGUGACUUCUGGGCUGGAACUUUUGUUUUGGUAAAUGGGCUGUCUAUAAAGCUGAAUCUGGUUAGCUAA